AUUGAACGCUGGCGGCAGGCCUAACACAUGCAAGUCGAACGAGUGGCGGACGGGUGAGUAAUUUAUGGGAAACUGCCUGAUGGAGGGGGAUACCUACUGGAAACGGUAGCUAAUACCGCAUAACAUCAGAUGUGCCCAGAUGGGAUUAGCUGGUUGGUGGGGUAACGUCUCACCAAGGCGACGAUCCCUAGCGGGUCUGAGAGGAUGACCAGCCACACUGGAACCGAGACACGGUCCAGACUCCUACGGUAGGCAGCAGUGGGGAAUAUUGCACAAUGGGCGAAAGCCGGAUGCAGCCAUGCCGCGUGUAUGAAGAAGGCCUUCGGGUUGUAAAGUACUUUCAGCGGGGAGGCGUUACCCGCAGAAGAAGCACCGGCUAACUCCGGGCCAGCAGCCGCGGUAAUUC
rnacentral:rRNA from 1 species